rnacentral:rRNA from 1 species
AGUGAACGCUGGCGGUAGGCCUAACACAUGCAAGUCGAACGGCAGCACAGUAAGAGCUUGCUCUUACGGGUGGCGAGUGGCGGACGGGUGAGGAAUACAUCGGAAUCUACUUUUUCGUGGGGGAUAACGUAGGGAAACUUACGCUAAUACCGCAUACGACCUACGGGUGAAAGCAGGGGAUCUACGGACCUUGCGCGAUUGAAUGAGCCGAUGUCGGUUUAGCUAGUUGGCGGGGUAAAGGCCCACCAAGGCGACGUUCCGUAGCUGGUCUGAGAGGAUGAUCAGCCACACUGGAACUGAGACACGGUCCAGACUCCUACGGGAGGCAGCGGUGGGGAAUAUUGGCCAAUGGGCGCAAGCCUGAUCCAGCCAUACCGCGUGGGUGAAGAAGGCCUUCGGGUUGUAAAGCCCUUUUGUUGGGAAAGAAAAGCAGCAGGUUAAUACCCCGCUGUUCUGACGGUACCCAAAGAAUAAGCACCGGCUAACUUCGU